UUGUGGAGGAGGACGCCGAAGGUGGGGCUAAUGACUGGGGUGAAGUCGUAACAAGGUAGCCGUACCGGAAGGUGCGGCUGGAUCACCUCCUAACAGGGAGACAACAAAAUGUUUAAUAUUAUUAUUUUGUCACCUUAGGUCGAUCGGUAUCUCAUGUUCUUAAUUUAUCAAGAAUUUCAUUUCCUAAGUUUUUCUAGGUCACACCCAUUAUUUUCCUGGGCCAUUAGCUCAGGUGGUUAGAGCGCACCCCUGAUAAGGGUGAGGUCCCUGGUUCAAGUCCAGGAUGGCCCAUAUCUCUAUGUUGGGGGUAUAGCUCAGUUGGUAGAGCGCCUGCUUUGCAAGCAGGAUGUCAGCGGUUCGAGUCCGCUUACCUCCACUGAUUACCACCUCUUCCAUAAUCUGUAGAAAGGAAAAUUAUUGAGUUUUGACCAUUUUUCUGAACGAAUCUAGCUUCCUAAUGAAACCAUUAAGAUGCUGGACUCAUUGAAUUAAUUUCAUUGUUUUCAGAGAACCUUGACAACUGCAUAGAUUAUUUUUAAAGACAAUAAGCAUCUUUAAAUGAUGCAGAUUUAUUAUUUGUGCAAAUGCAUUAAUAACAAUUCUAUUAAGCUGAUGCUUCAAUUAUGAAGUUAUUGGUCAAGCUACAA
rnacentral:misc_RNA from 1 species